AACGAACGCUGGCGGCGUGCCUAACACAUGCAAGUCGAACGGGAUUAGAGAGCUUGCUCUUUAAUUUAGUGGCGCACGGGUGAGUAACGCGUAGAUAAUCUGCCUGAUGAUCUGGGAUAACAGUUCGAAAGGACUGCUAAUACCGGAUAAGCCCACGGGUUCUUUGGGAUCUGCGGGAAAAGGGGGGGACCUUCGGGCCUUCUGUCAUCAGAUGAGUCUGCGUACCAUUAGCUAGUUGGUAGGGUAAUGGCCUACCAAGGCUACGAUGGUUAGCUGGUCUGAGAGGAUGAGCAGCCACACUGGAACUGAGACACGGUCCAGACUCCUACGGGAGGCAGCAGUGGGGAAUUUUGCGCAAUGGGCGAAAGCCUGACGCAGCAACGCCGCGUGAGUGAUGAAGGCUUUCGGGUCGUAAAGCUCUGUCAGAGGGAAAGAAGUGUAUUGUGGCUAAUAUCCACGAUACUUGACGGUACCCCUAAAGGAAGCACCGGCUAACUCCGUGCCAGCCGCCGCGGUAAAAC
rnacentral:rRNA from 1 species